GACGAACGCUGGCGGCGUGCUUAACACAUGCAAGUCGAACGAUGAUGCUGGAGCUUGCUCCAGUUGAUUAGUGGCGAACGGGUGAGUAACACGUGAGCAAUCUGCCCUUGACUCUGAGAUAACUGCGGGAAACUGUAGCUAAUACCGGAUACUUUCACCGGAAGGCAUCUUCUGGUGAUGAAAGAAUUUCGGUCAGGGAUGAGCUCGCGGCCUAUCAGCUUGUUGGUGAGGUAACGGCUCACCAAGGCGACGACGGGUAGCCGGCCUGAGAGGGUGACCGGCCACACUGGGACUGAGACACGGCCGAGACUCCUACGGGAGGCAGCAGUGGGGAAUAUUACACAAUGGGCGCAAGCCUGAUGCAGCAACGCCGCGUGAGGGAUGAAGGCCUUCGGGUUGUAAACCUCUUUUAGCAGGGAAGAAGCGAAAGUGACGGUACCUGCAGAAAAAGCACCGGCUAACUACGUGCCAGCAGCCGCCGUAA
rnacentral:rRNA from 1 species